AGAAAAUAUCUGACCAUCGUUUCGUUUGCCCUUACAGACUUUUAUUACGGAUUUCCAUGCUGAACGAAGUCCAGGAGAAAUGGCUCGGUGCAGAAACAAUACAUCAUCAGACUGACCUAGUUUGCAGGACCGCGGGUGCUUGCGAAUGAUAAUUAUCUUCUGUGAAUCGUUUCCAUCAAUGCAUCAGUCAAUCAAUCUUCACCAACACCACACGCCAUCAGCAUCUCUAUUUUGUUGUUUCUUCUAA
rnacentral:lncRNA from 1 species